CUGAUCUCUCUGCUGAUCCCAAGUGGGUUAUUGCUGUGCUCAGAGUGGGAGGUGAGCCUCAGAGCUGGAGGGCAGGAAAGAGAAGGAAUGUCUGUGGGAAGGAUGGACAGGCCAACAGGACAAAAGAGAAAACAGUGAAGGAAAUAAGAGCUGCAGAGUCAAGGAGGAAUCGUAUGGUGUGUUCAGGCUGGGCUGGUGC